UUCAUAUUUAUCAACAGUGGGAUUAGAUCUUUUAAUUUUGCUGUAUAUCUAGAAUCCAAGUUGCAACAUUAAAUGUCAUUAACAAUUUAGUUAUAUGAUGGCAUUGGGAUUUAAAAAUCGUCAAAAAGAGCUUUAGGUCAAUGGCCUAUCGCCAGACACCCAGUCAGGACAUUUGUCCUGAUUUUUAUAGGCUUCAAAAUCACUGUACACGCUUUGAAUGUUUUUCUGCAUCAUUCUCAG